UGACUAUAUCAGGUUGAAACACCAGUUCUCAUAUGAUCACUGUAGUUAAGCAAUAUCAAGCCUGGUCAGUACCUAGAUGGGUAACCACUUGGGAAUACCAAGUUCUGUA